CUACGGGGGGCUGCAGUGAGGAAUAUUGCGCAAUGGGGGAAACCCUGACGCAGCGACGCCGCGUGGAUGAUGAAGGCCUUCGGGUCGUAAAAUCCUGUCAGAAGGAAAGAAGUGUAUGGUAGCUAAUAUCUGUCAUACUUGACGGUACCUUCAAAGGAAGCACCGGCUAGCUCCGUGCCAGCAGCCGCGGUAAUACGGAGGGUGCAAGCGUUGUUCGGAAUUACUGGGCGUAAAGCGCGCGUAGGCGGUUUUAUAAGUCAGAUGUGAAAGUCCACGGCUCAACCAUGGAAGUGCAUUUGAAACUGUAAGACUUGAGGAUUGGAGGGGGUAGUGGAAUUCCCGGUGUAGAGGUGAAAUUCGUAGAUAUCGGGAGGAAUACCGGUGGCGAAGGCGACUAUCUGGCCAAAUACUGACGCUGAGGUGCGAAAGCGUGGGGAGCAAACAGGAUUAGAUACCCGAGUAGUC
rnacentral:rRNA from 1 species